rnacentral:rRNA from 1 species
GGGCCUCAAAUCAGACAAGAGUACCCGCUGAACUUAAG